GGCCUCGUGGUGGAAUGGCAGACACAUUAGACUUAAACUCUAAAGCCCUAGCGCGUGAGGGUUCGACUCCCUCCGAGGCCA
rnacentral:tRNA from 1 species